rnacentral:tRNA from 1 species
GGGGUUGUGGCUCAGUGGUAGAGCUCACCCAGCACAUGUGAGGCCUUGGGUUCGAUCCUUAGCACCACA